CUGAGCUAAAUCCCCAACCCCACAUGGCACCUCUUAACUAUAAUGUGAUCUCAUGCCCUCUUCUGGCAUGCAAAUGGACAUGCAGACAGGAUACUCAUAGAUAUAAAAAUAAAAGACUCAUUUUGGGGGCUGUAAUUCCAGUUAGCUGGGAUACAGGAAGUCCCUGGUUCAGUCUCCUUUGGGGGAUGCUGUGUUGUUUGUUCAGUAUAAUUUGGCCAACCUAACUUUACUGCAGAUGCCAACAAUUAGGUUGUCAGACAAGAGCUUUACCUCAGUAGCACGGGCAUGUGGUUAAUACAAACAGGACCGUCACUGGUCUGAUCCUCCAGCAUCGAAAUAAAGGACUUUGAAAGCUGCUUGCUAAAGCCUCAUCUGUCUCGAGAGCUUGUUUGGAGGUUCUAGCAGGAGAGCUCAGCUACUCCUACACCCUUGGCCGAAGACAGCUUCUCCUCCAUUAAGGGAAGGUCGCCCUCUUUGACUGAGCAUGCGCUUUGCGAGGGGUAUGCAUGGAGCGGGCGGGGGAGGGAGGAUGGGGACCUAGGAUGAUUCCUAGCCAGCCGUAUCAACGGAAUCAACCCUGGUGGUCGAUGAGGUGACAGAGGUGGCUGCCAGAUGGCCCCCACAUCGAAGCCUCAGCUACCUAUGAGAGCAAGGUGGGAAUAUGGAGAAGUCAGAAGCCUUCAUCCAAGAUGGCGCCCGCACCUGCACACUACAGCUGAUGGAACCCGGACCAAUGCCGUUCUUCCCCGAGCAUCUCCCCUGUGACGUCAUCAACGGCCAUGUAAAAUCUCCUUCCCUAGGCUCAUCCCACAAAUGUUUACUGAAUAUCUACAUGUUUCAGGCAGAAAACCAGCCCCUACCCACCCCUCUGUAGGAUCUGCUUCCCUGGUAUGACCAUUCUUUUCUGGACAACGACAGGAGUGGAUAAUCCAAUAAUGCGUGGUGUCUCAUCUCAGUACUUCUGUGUUAGGCACGCUAGUAUAUUAAGACGCUGAAAGGCCUUACCAGAACGUUCACCACAUCUACAGUGGUGGAUCUAACACAUACUGGGAUCUGAGGGCCACCGUUUCUACAGCACAGAGGAUUAAGGACGGCAGUGUAAACGUGGUCUGGCAAUUCCACUGGACUUUGUCAUCCAAGGUCAGCGAUGGGACUUAGAAAGCCACCGAGGAAUGUGACAGGCAAGACAAGACCUGGAUUUUGUAUUUGGGUUUAAAACCCCCGGAGCAGGGAGACACUAGGUACCCGCAGUUCUCAGCGCUGGACAGUGCAUGUGAGGCGAACGAGAUGAUGCAGCCUUGGAUGCUCAUGGAGAAGCUGUUCUACACAGUUGUAGCUUUAUAACCGUCAUGGACUGAAGGCUGGCUCCCGUUCUAGAAGCCUCAUCCCAGGAAGCAGACUGCUCUUCCAGAGACUGCUACAGCAUGUCAUUGCCCUCCCCACCCUUGAAAGUUAGAAGCUUGGGCAAUUCUUGGCCAAGGAAGGAAAAGACAAGCAUUUUCAGUAAAGCUGCCAUGGACGUAA
rnacentral:sRNA from 1 species